CCGCGCUGACGCCGACGCCGGCGGCACAGUGGGAGGGAGCGGUAAGGGGAGGAGGUGCGCGGGCUCCGAGUGGCGGCUGUAGUGAGCGGGGCUGCGGGCUGCAGGGCCGGCGCCAUGUUUCUCGCUGCUCCUGUUCGCGCCGCCGCCGCGCACUCGGUGAGACAGAUCCGCUACUUGCAUAAAACAGCUGUGCGCAGUGGAGGUGGAGGAGCCUUGUUUGUGCACAGAGAUACUCCUGAAAAUAACCCAGAUACACCAUUUGAUUUCACACCUGAAAACUAUAAGAGAAUAGAAGCAAUAGUAAACCACUACCCAGAGGGACAUAGAUCAGCUGCUGUGAUGCCGGUACUAGAUCUGGCCCAGAGACAGAAUGGAUGGUUGCCCAUAUCAGCGAUGAACAAGGUUGCUGAAGUUUUACAGAUGCCUCCCAUGAGAGUAUAUGAAGUAGCAACUUUCUAUACAAUGUAUAAUCGGAAGCCUGUUGGAAAAUACCAUAUUCAGAUCUGCACAACUACACCGUGUAUGCUGAGAGAUUCUGAUGGUAUACUAGAGGCUAUUCAGAAGAAGCUUGGUAUACAAGUUGGGGAAACAACACCUGAUAAACUUUUCACACUGGUAGAAGUCGAAUGUUUAGGUGCUUGCGUAAAUGCACCAAUGGUACAAAUAAAUGAUAAUUAUUAUGAAGAUCUGACACCAAAAGAUAUUGAAGACAUAAUCGAUGAACUAAAGGCUGGCAAAGUUCCCAAACCUGGCCCUAGCUCAAGAAGGAUGCAGAUAAAUUGGAGAGAGUUCAGAGAAGAGCCAUGAGAAUGACUAAAGGGUUAGAAAACAUCCCUUAUAGUGAUGGACUCAAAACAAAGUAUGUUAAGAGAAAUGGACGCUUUUCUUGUGAGCCAGUUGGUGGUCUUACUUCUCUGACUGAACCCCCCAAAGGACCUGGAUUUGGAGUUCGAGCAGACCUCUAAGCAUUUCUGGUGAAGGAGUUUCUGGAGGAACAAAUUUUUAUUUUAUUGAUAGCGUAACAACUGGGAGUUGCUGCUAUGGAACGCCUUUAUGUGCUUUGCUGGUAAUGGUUUUAUACAUUUAUCUUAUGCUUUACUAGUGGUUUGUAUUAGUUUUGGUGAGGAAGUAUGUGGAGUAGUUAAAUGAUGGUGUCUUGAUCAUAAACACUAUGAUGUGAUAAGUGCACAGUGCUGUAUUUUCCAGAAACUUUGUUAUUAAACACAAGAUUGAAGACCGUCUGUAACAGUUAACCUGUACACCAGGGGUUCUCAAACUGGGGGUCGCGAGGUUAUUACAGGGGGGGAGGUCGUGAGCUGUCAGCCUCCACCCCAAACCCCGCUUUGCCUCCAGCAUUUAUAAUUGUGUUAAAAUAUAUUAAAAAGUGUUUUUAAUGUAUAAAGGGGGGUCACACUCAGAGGCUUGCUGUGUGAAAGGGGUCACCAGUACAAAAGUCUGAAAACCCCCGCUGUACAUUGCUUUGCCAGCAAAAUAUGCCUAGAGCGGUUUUCCAUGCACUGAAUUACAAGGCAAAGCUAAAUGUCACUUCAUCUAAAUAUGAGCAGAAUGCUAGUUAAGAUCCCUGCCUGGCAUAUGUGCCAUUAUAGCUAAAUUGUAAUAUUUAAAAUGCACUAUGCUUUUGCUGUAGUGCCCAAUAUGUGAUUUGCAAUAAAGUUCUUAUUUUUUGCCUUUUUAUACUGCAGUUUGUAAUUUCCCCCCACUGCUAUUUUGAGUUCAGCCAUCUGAUAGAGCUGAAGCUAAUGUUGCAUAUGCCAAGCUGAACAUUUUUAUCUUAACCAGGAGCAGUGGUUCAUGUACCUGCCAGCACAGGAUGUUUCAAGGGAAAUGCCAACUCAGGGGAAGUAUUAGGGAACUGAACUGGGUUGACCUAUGGAGGAACUUGGCAGCUGCACUUGUGCACCAAGGAGAUGGAGACAUAGCAAGACUGGGAAGGAAAAGGUUGCUGGUAGAACUGAAGUGAUAGACACUUUCACUAUUGUAAGAUGCUGUUUCCUUUUAUUAAUCCUAAUGGCAGCUUUUCUAAGAACCUGGGAAACUUUUUCCAACAAUCAAGAUUGCAAAAUCAGCCAUCUUCUUUAGAUGCCCCUCAUCUUUCAAUUCCUCCUUCUGUAUUGACUCAACUGCUGUCCAUAGAUCCCCACAAGUAUAUCCUGCAAAUGUAUACAAGAUCUCUUUGUUUGCCUCCUUGUCCCGAUGGACUGCAUUGUAUGGACUUUCUGCGCUAUCCAGAAGCAUCUUUAAUUGUGCGGAAGGGUAAGCCUUCAGGAUUUGAUCCAGAUCAUUGUGAAAGAGGCACGUUUUCUGCCAAGAAGGACCUACUGUUAUUCUUCCAUGUCUUGUUAUACAGGACUUCCAGGCUCUUUGUCUUCUCUUGGUAAUACUUCUCCCCUCUAAGCGUACAUCUACACUUCCCAGCUCAUAUAGAUGUACCCCCACUAUCUCUGCUUGAGCUAGCACCUAAAAAUAGUGUGUCCGCAGCAGCACAGGCGGUGGCUCAGCCAAGCUGCCCCAAAUACAAUCCCGCUUGGGUCCCUGGGUACGUACUCAGGUGGCUAGCCUCAGCUGCCACAGACACACUGAUAUUUUGAGGCACUCGCUCAAGCAGAGUUAGCAUGGCUACAUCUAUGCAAGCUGGGAAUCACACCUCCCAGCUCAAAUGUAGAUGUACCCCAUCUGAUGACCAGUUUAGCCAGUCAAACAUUAAAAUACUGUGAAUGAACAAGUGCAGCUGCCCUUGCAUAUGGUCUCCAGUGCCCAUGUCAGCCCCAGGCCAGCUGGCAACACCCUUAUUUGGUAGCGUCCAAGACAUGCUAGUAACAGAAUCAAAUAGCACACAACUGAGCUCCAUGUUGGGUACAGUGCUAUUUGAAUAGGAAAUUGGCUUCCAGAAAACUUGAUCCCUAUGUAGCAGAGUUCAGAAUGCAUAUCAGACAGGCUGCCUAAGCAGUGCCCAGUGCCCUGUGGAAUGGUAGCAGUAGGAGUAUUUGCUUUUAGGGGUCUGCAGCAAUCUCUGUCUAUGCAUACAUUGCAAAGGCAGAGAUUGGUAUAGUGGAGGACCACACAAUGGUUCACAUUGCUCAAAAAAAGUUAGUUCAAAAAAGUGCUUGGAACUCCUGUGCACCACUGCAAACACUUGUGUGUGGACAUGGUAUGCCACAUGUUAGGAAGAACCACAGUAUACACAAGACCACAGCAACUCAGUGACAGUGGAAACAUAAUUCAGGUGACCAAGCUUCCGGUCUUAUGCUAGCAGUUCCCAAUUGUGACAGUCUUCUGUUCUGAAAACUUUCUCAAUGACUUAUUUGAUUCUUGGCACUAAGAAGAACUCAUUUACCUGAAAUGUGGCAACGAGAUGACUCCUCUGCACAAGUUUAUGUUGUAAAUAUGACUGAUUUUUCUCUUAGAUCUUGUUCUAUCUUAUUUCUAAGAUGCCUAUCGCUGGGGUAACUUAGCACCUAAUGACUUUAGAGGUGACCUGCAAUGGAGAAAAUAUAGUGUAAGCUCUUUGUUUUUUAUGUUGUAUAGAAGACAUCUAUGGAGUGUUUUUAUUCUUUUUGCUUUUCUUUUUUUUUUUUUACACUUGAAAUUCAUAUCUGCUUCUCUUGCAAGACUAUGUGGCUGACUUCAGAAUUAGUAGGAUUACCACAUUUACCAAAUAAAUGAAUGCUGAUUGACAGAA